UUAAAUAAGAAAGGGCGUAUGGAGGAUGCCUAGGCAUUAGAAGAUGAAGAAGGACGUGACAAACGACGAAAUGCUUCGGGGAGAUGUAAGUAAUCUUUGAUCCGGAGAUAUCCGAAUGGGGGAACCCACUAGUGGUAAUGCGCUAGUAUCAUAUAAUGAAUAUAUAGUUAUAUAGAGAACAACUCAGUGAACUGAAACAUCUUAGUAACUGAAGGAAAAGAAAGAAAAAUCGAUUUUCUUAGUAGUGGCGAGCGAAAAGGAAAGAGCCCAAACCAGUCUAAGGACUGGGGUUGAAGGACCUCAAUAAACUUGAAGAUCAUAUAGUUGAAUUACCUGGGAAGGUAAACUAUAGAAGGUGAAAGUCCUGUAAGCGAAAUGUGAUUAAAAGUUAGAGGAAUCCUGAGUACGGCGAGGCACGUGGAACCUUGUCGGAAUCAGCGGGGACCAUCCCGCAAGGCUAAAUACUCUCUAAUGACCGAUAGUGAACAAGUACCGUGAGGGAAAGGUGAAAAGAACCCCGGGAGGGGAGUGAAAUAGAAACUGAAACCAUAUGCUUACAAAAAGUUCGAGCCCGUUAAAGGGUGAGAGCGUGCCUUUUGCAGAAUGAACCGGCGAGUUAUUGUAUAAUGCGAGGUUAAGUAGGAGAUACGGAGCCGAAGGGAAACCGAGUUUUAAUAGAGCGAUAUAGUAUUAUGCAAUAGACCCGAAACCGAGUGAUCUAGUCUUGAGCAGGUUGAAGUAAUAGUAAAAUAUUAUGGAGGACCGAACCGAUAUGCCCGGAAACGCGUACGGAUGACUUGAGAUUAGCGGAGAAAUUCCAAUCGAACUCGGAUAUAGCUGGUUCUCCCCGAAAUAGGUUUAGGCCUAGCCUUGAUUUUAUAUAUGUGGAGGUAGAGCACUGAAUGUGCGAUGGCGCCGUCUAGGUGUACUGAGUACAAACAAACUCCGAAUGCCACAUAAGAGUAAUCAGGAGUCAGUGUAUGGGUGAUAACGUCCAUACGCGAAAGGAAAAGAAUCCAGAUCGCCAGUUAAGGUCCCAAAAUUGUGUUAAGUGGAAAAGGAUGUGGAGUUGUAAAAACAGCUAGGAGGUUGGCUUAGAAGCAGCCAUCCUUUAAAGAGUGCGUAAUAGCUCACUAGUCGAGUGAAACUGCGCCGAAGAUGUACCGGGGCUAAACACAAUACCGAAACUGCGGACUUGUACGUAAGUAUGAGUGAUAGGGGAGCGUUGUAAUUGCGAAGAAGGUAUACCGUGAGGAGUGCUGGAGCGAUUAGAAGUGAGAAUGCCGGUGUGAGUAACGAAAAAUGGGUGGAAAUCCCAUUCACCGAUUGACUAAGGGUUCCUGGGUAAAGUUCGUCUUCCCAGGGUAAGUCAGGACCUAAGAUGAGGCCUAAAGGCGUAGUCGAUGGACAAUAGGUAUAUAAUCCUAUACCACCUAUAUAACUGAAGGAGUGACGAAGGAGGCUAGCUAAAGCCAAUUAAUGGAUUUUGGUCUAAGCACAAAGGCUUGUACGGAGUAAAAUGCACGAUACAAAAGAGCUGAAGUGUGAUGGGGAAGUGAUACUUUCGGGUAGAGCGAAGUUAAGUGACGCCAAACUUCCAAGAAAAGCUUCUAGGGCUAAUUAUAUAGGUGCCUGUACCGAUAACCGACACAGGUGGUCAAGGAGAGAAUCCUAAGGUGAGCGAGAGAACUAUGGUUAAGGAACUCGGCAAAAUGACCCCGUAACUUCGGGAGAAGGGGUGGUCAAGAAGAUAAUGCAGUAAUGUAUGAAAAUAAAUUGACCCGCAGUGAAUAGGUCCAGGCAACUGUUUACCAAAAACACAGGUUUCUGCAAACACGAAAGUGGAAGUAUAGGAGCUGACGCCUGCCCAGUGCUGGAAGGUUAAAGGGAAGUGUCCGUAGCAAUACAAAGCACCGAACUGAAGCCCCAGUGAACGGCGGCCGUAACUAUAACGGUCCUAAGGUAGCGAAAUUCCUUGUCAGGUAAGUUCUGACCCGCACGAAAGGCGUAAUGAUCUGGAUACUGUCUCAACCAUAGACUCGGUGAAAUCUUAAUACCUGUGAAAAUGCAGGUUACCCGCGACAGGACGGGAAGACCCCGUGGAGCUUUACUGUAGCUUGAUAUUGGAAUUAGAUUGGUUAUGUAGAGGAUAGGUGGUAGACUAUGAAGUAUAGACGCAAGUCUGUAUGGAGUCGCCCUUGGAAUACCACCCUUGAUUAGUCCAAUUUCUAACCUAGUACCAUAAUCUGGUACAGGGACAGUGUCUGGUAGGCAGUUUGACUGGGGCGGUCGCCUCCUAAAGAGUAACGGA
rnacentral:rRNA from 1 species